ACACUGCUGAGGAGUCCGCAAUAGGACGAAACGGCCGUCCAGUGC
rnacentral:hammerhead_ribozyme from 1 species